GAGUAAGUUAUCACUCCUCACUACAAAAAAGCCCUAAAAUCUCUCGUUCCCUCUCUCUUGCUCCCGCUCAAAUCAUCGACAACAACCACCUUUGUUUUUCGACUGUCCCAAGCUAGUCAUUGGAUGUCCAGCUCUAGGAAAUCCACAAGUUGUGUAUAGUAUUUCACUCUUCGUUUCUCAGGUUUUGUAAGUCACAAUUUGAUGAAUUUUUUCCCAUCUUUUUAACCCUUUCAAGAGCACUAUGAUUCAAUAGUGAUAUCGUGUUAUUUGGCUUUGUUUGGUGAAAACGUAUUCUCAAUUUUUAGGUUCAAGGCUGUGCCAGGGACUCACAAACAAAGGAAGUCGAGUAAGGGCAUAAACCUUCUUCUUCUGGUAAUGUGAGUCAUGUAUUUCUUAGUUUUUUUUUAAUAUUCACUUAAUUAUAUAUUUUGAUUUUUGUUGUUGCAUUUGAAAGAUAAUAUUGGGUUUGUUCAUCUUCUUCAAUGGUUUGUCUUUCUGAGAUGGGUUAUGAAUUUAAUCAUGGAUUAAUAAUUAUGUUUCUUAUUUAGCCCCUGUUCAGUCCAUUUUGGUAAUCUUAUUUCUAGCAGUUUGAUUUUGAUUAAUGGAAGGACAGAUUAAAUUCCAUUAAGUGCUGUUAUUUGUGAAUUGUGAUUCUAUUGCUUGUUCAUUUAUGAGAAUUUGUGUAGUGUCCUGUUUCUUGUUGAAAGAUUAAGUGAGAUUGAUGUGGCUUUGGUUUUGAUUAAUUAGUACUAUACAUUUUUGUUGUUAAGCGUGUCUUCCUGAUAACUUAAGUCAGUUUAUCUUGCCACCAAACCACAGUUCAUCAAUGAGCAACUUCUAAAUGGUUGCCUCUUGUUCCUCCUAGCUAUGCCUAAUUCUGUCUUCUAAUGUCUCUGGCCAAAUCCUUGUACCUUACUAUAAAAAAUGGACAAGUUCUCGCCAAUCCUUAGAUGGACAAGUUAAAGCUUUCUUAUUUACUCACGAAUGUACUUGUUUAAGUUUUAUUGAUAAGUUGUCCCAAACCGACCAACCCGAUCAAUACUUGAUUAGGUUGGUUGGGUUAGCUUUCAACCUUUACAAGGGUUGGGUUGGGUUAAAAUUCGACCAAACCGAUGAAGUUGGGUUGGGGAAAAAAUCGACCCAACCCAACUCAUCCCUAACCACAAUUCCCCUAUAUGGCAUAUAUAUGAUGGUUAGUGAUUUGAUGCAUAAGGCAAUAAAAAACUACCAUAUUAAUGUAUCAAAUCAAUAACUGUCACAGCAGGACGAUUACUACAGUGAGCUAUUACAAAUAGUAUUAUUCUUUAGAGAUUCUUUUACAUGUUGAUGAUGCAACGAUAAAUUGAAUUAAAAAUGUCCAAAUCUUUCCACUACUUAAAUAGUUGUGCUUAUGCAAUAUGAGUUAAUGACAAAAAACAAAUGAUGGAUUUUUUUUUAGUUGAUAAUAUUUUUACUUAGUUAAAUUUCGUUAUAUCUAUUGAUAAAACAAAUUUGUAAUAAGUACUAAUAUACAUGUAGCAUAAUCGGUUAAUUAAAUAUGCUGAAUGUGUGGGAAUUCAAAUUCAAAUCAAUCUUACAUGAUAGGAUAACAUCAACAAUGGUGGUGUGGAGAAUCAUUCUCUGUCUCUGAGAUAAAUUUGGCUUUCGAAAUAUUUAUACUCUCGGUAAUAUACAUAUUUGUAGUAUUGCCUUGAUCAUGUUGGCUAUUGUUUUAUGAAAUAGAAUUCCCAAUUAAAAUAUAGGUAAAAUGUUUGACUUCCUUCUUCGUUAUAUUUUAAGGAAUUGGGCCAUUUGUACAUCAGGCUUGUACAGAUUAGUGUACAGUCCCUUCACAAUUGGGGGGAGGGGGCGAGGAGCAUGCCGAAUAAAAAAAUCAUGGGCCCCUAUUGUGAGGGGGCUAUACAUUAGGUUGUACACAUAGCAACCUCAUAUUGUAAGUAUCAUGUGCUGGUCUUACAUUGAUAAUUUUUGAAAACACCAAUUUGGGUCGUGAUUUUGAAUUCUAACCUACAUAAAAGGCAUUAUCUUGUUAAAAAUUUCUAUUAUUUGAAGUACAUGUUGCAGGUCAUAUCCUCAUUUCAUCAUAGUUGUUUGCCAUAUAGUAUGAUAAAUUCAUCGAAUGUUGUGUAAAAUCACUAUUUUCUUUCCAAAAAGAAAUGGACUCACAACAAUCAGAUUUUCGAGGGGCAUAAUAAAAGGUUCUAUAUGCGCUCGAAGGCGUAAAAUAGGAAAGUUCCGGCAUAAUAGUGCCCCAAGGCAAAGAGCAAGCGAAGCUGCAAACAAAGACCCCUUAGGAUAACAAAAAAGAAUAUCAUCUAUAUUCUUGUUAUGGAUUGUAAUGUGAUUGUAGCUAGUUUUAAGAAGAUAUAAUGUCUGUGACUAACCAUUAUGCGGAAUAAUUCACAUUUAAUUAGUUUUUCAUUUUUCCUUGGAUAAUACAUACAUUUUCACAUCAUACACGUGCUAGGACUUUUAAUUUUUUUUAUUUAUUUUUUAGAUGCAGACAUGGACUUCGUGAACGUCUUCAUGACCUACAAUGUGAUGGCAUUUGGACUUUUAUUACCUAGUGGAUGUAAGUCUGCGAAACUUGUUGAAAUGAUAUUCGUUAAGAUGAAAAUAGAUAUAUAAAAGGUCUGCGUGCUUGAAAAUUGAUUGCGCUGUAGGUGGUAACAUGGCCUCGGUGAGGGUAACCACUAACAACGCACUUUUAUUCUACAUGGAGCUGAGUAAGAAGGAUCCUCUGAUUACUUCAUAUGCACUUUAUAUUGUAGUAGUGAACCUGUAGAAACAAAAAUGAGGUUUUUUUUUUUUUUUUUUUUUUCAGCAUGUAAUUGUUUUUCAUUUUCACGAUUUAUAGGAAUUAGACAAUGCACUGCAAAUUCGCUCGAUGACUUCUUAGAGAACAGAGAGUGGUACUUUUAAAAUUGACUUGGUCAAACCAUUCAAUUUCUACUUUGAGUUUUAAACAAUUGAAUAUUUCCACAAUGACCACUUGAUUAUUAAAAGACAAAGAUACCUUUAAAUAUGUUGUACAAUUACAAAAUAUUGUUUUGUUUAAAAGACAUUAUUAUCUUUGUAGUUAACAAGUACAAAACAAUUCCUCCUUAAAAUUUCAAAACCAGAAAACUUUUCUUAUCGGUUUAUUCCAACACAAUAAAAUUUCUCUAAUUUCUCAUCCGCUUCAACCUUAAAAUGUCAGUAAUUUAUCGAAUGCUAAACAAAAAAAUAUUUUUUGAUAUUAAUCACUUCGAAUCGGUUAGCAUAUUUACGUAUCGUUAAUUUCAUUUUCGUUAGAUUAGUACACAUUUUCAUUGAUAAAUCUUAUCUUGACAUGGUUAAUACUUGUACAAAAUUUUUUACAAGAUCUAUAAUUUUAAGCAUGAACAAGAAAAAAUUCAUCUGUAUGUUGAGUUCGGUUGACUGAGCCGACUGUCCUGUAAAAUUUUUUUUAAAAUAAAUUUUGCCCUGUAAAUUGAGCCAAAUUUUUGAAUCUUUUUUCCUAUAAUUAAAACUUCUAUUUCGUGACACAGAUAUGGUUGUCAUCCCGAUUUGUUACUUUGUUGAUGUGUUGAUGUUAAAUUGAUUGAAAAUGGUCGAUGGGUAUGGAAAUAGACGAGUGAUAUACAUGGUGAUAUUCCAAUUUUCGUAACAGAGAGUAUAUCAAACGCGAAAAUGUGUCAUGAUUUACAAAACAAGCUCAAUGUCGAUCCCUCUCAGUAUGAUAUGGAACUGAGAUUUUUAUUCAAAGGGCAUUCAUCUAUUCCAAUUUCACCUAUGAAGUUUACUUCUGAUGCUAAAGUGAAUUAUAUAUUAGGAUUGAAAAAAAUGCACACAACUCCGACUGCUAUUUGCAUGACUUUAGUGAAGAAGGAUGUCGUCGAAGGUGAACAUAAAGAUUCGAAUGGAACGGAUAAGAAUGCCAAUGAUUUUUGGGACACGAUGGAGAUAGCUUGUGAGAAUGAUGUAGUCAUUCCCGAAACAGUUGCUCCUUAUAGCGAUCUCGCUGUUAUGCACAGAAUUUCGUCGGUAGUUCAUGACGACGAGAAUGAACAUAUAUUUACAAAUGAAAAUUUGAUUGUUUUAUCCUGUCAAAGACAUGAGGGGGUGAGAGCUCAGGGAUUGGAUCAAAUGGACUGUCCUCUAAUUCUUUGUUCGUGGUUCAUAAUGAUGAUGAUUUGUAUGUCGAGCAACUAUUUGAAACAAAGAAAGAUUGUCAAAAGUUGUGCAUUGGAUGACAUUAAAAUACAACUUUGAGUUCAAGGUAAAGAAAUCAAACAAGUCCUUCUUGAUGAGUAUUUGCGUCGAUGACAAUUGCCGUUGGCGCUUGUAAAUGACUAAGAUGGAGACGAAUGAGUUAUUUAUGGUUCGCAAAUAUACACAAGAAUAUACUUGUGAAGUAAAAAUUAAUCGAAAUGAUCACAGGCAAGCUCAAUCAUGGUUUAUUAGUCGAUAGAUAAUGUUCAAGUAUCAGGACCCACGUAAAAUCUAUAGACUUUUGGACAUCAUUAACAUCAUUCGUCGAGAGUACGGAGUGGUAAUGAGCUAUUAUAAGGCUUACAAGGCCAAAUAAUAUGCGUUGGAGGAUUUAAUGGGCUCGACCGAGGAAAGUUAUGCUAAAUUGACUAGGUAUUGCCAUAACAUGGGGAAAACUAAUCCUAGCUCUACAUUUUUUAUUGAGGCAGAGGGUGAGAAUUGUUUUAAGUUUUUCCCCAUGGCUCUUGGACAAUGUAUUUGGGGAUUUUGAAAUGUAAUACGACCCAUAAUUCUAGUCAAUGGUAUAAAUCAUAAAGUUAGAUACCAAGGCAAGUUGAUUAUUGCGACAUGUCAAGACACCAACAUUCAAAUUUACCCUCUUGCAUUUGGCAUAGUCGAUAGUGAGAAUGAUCUAUCGAUGCGUUAGUUCUUUACAAAGUUGAGGUAAGUGAUCGGUGAAGUUGAGGAACUUGCUUUUGUAACUGAUUAGGAACCGUCUAUAAUAAAUGGUACACUGAAGUUUUUCCCGAGGCACAUCAUGGAUAUUGCAUAUACUAUAUAUAAGGUAAUCUGAAGACUAGGUAUCGGGGCAAUGGUAUCGUUUAAUUGUUCACGAAAGCGGCUGAGCUUACAGUGUUGAGGACUAUAAUGAGUUCAAUGAUCAAAAUUGAAAUUAAAUGAUUCUCGGCAUGAGAUUAUCUAAUAAAAAUGGGGAUCAAACAUUGGGCAUGGUCACAUUUUCUAGGACAUCGAUACAACAUGGUGACGUUGAACAACGCAAAGUUUCUCAAUGUACUGUUCAAGAAGGAUUGAGAGUUACAAAUUCUCACAAUGAUCAUAAACAUUCAUAACAAGCUGUAGCAAUGAUUUUAUGAUCAACGUGCAGAAUCACAGAGUUGUAUGAGCAUGCUAACCCCGACUCAAGAAGGCAAACUCUUUAAGGCUGUAGAGGUUGAGAGAAAGUUAAAUGUGGAAGCACUGGAUAUGUUGCGCUUCUCCAUAAAAUGUGCACGUAAUACGGUAUAUAUGGUGGACUUGACUGAUAACACAUGCACUUGUAGUCGAUUUCAGUUUGAGAGUUUUCCAUGUGAGCAUACAGUCGCUGUAGCUAUAUAUCAAGGCUUUUCAUCGAAAACAUUAUGCUCUCCUUAUUACAUGAACGAUUCUUGGAUAGUAGCGUAUGCUGAAACUAUAUUUUCACUACCGAAUUAAGCCGAAUGCGAAGUUCUCGAUCAUAUUCCCCCACUUAAUACAUUGUUGCCACAAGAAGUUGAACAACGUGGUCUUAAACGUCCACGUACGUCUAGAAUACCAUUUACUGAAAAGUUUUUUCAACAACAUAGGCACGAUAGGUGCAGAGCAAUAUAGCAUACUCACCAGUUUUGUACAAGUCAUAUUGUCUUAAAUGACAAUUAGACCAGUGUGUAAUGAUGUCGAUGUUAAAUGAACAGUAUUUACGUCUAUUCGUAAUUAAAUAAGCAAUUAUUUCAUAAUUACAAAAAAAAAUUAGUGUAUAAUAUUUACAUUAAUUUUACAUUAUUUACAAUUAUUGCACAACAACGAAAAAAAUUCAAAGUACAAUGUUUACAUGAAUUUAACAGUAUUUACAAUUAUUUCAUGAUUAAAAAAAGAAUUAAUAUACAAUAUUUACGGAUCACAAUUAAAUUUGUAUAAAUCACAUACUAACUUACUCCUCCAAAUAUGUAUCCACGAUUGGUUGAUUCAAUCAACAUUAUGUGCUAUACUAAAAAAUUCAAUGUACUUUUAUACGACCAUGUCGCAGUCGCCAUGCAAUUGAACAAUAAUGUGCUAGUUCGAUAUUGUGUAGCUAAAAACUAAUUCUUAAAUUAAAAAAAUUACAAACACUUACGAGAUGGACUGUCUCAUCGUCGUGUCUCGCACGAUGGUUAGUCUGUCAUGCACAGUCAUCCUAGCUCGUCUACCAAUCAGAGGAACGAUCAGAACCACGGACUUCAAGUUUUGCUGGAGCUGACCCUGUGUGACAUGAAUGAUCGGGAUCGUACAUAUAUAUAGUCGAGUCAGUGAAGAUUAUCUCCAUGAUAAUGCAGUAAUGAUUCACAAUCACUAAAAUGUACACAUGCGUACAACUCAUGGAUUUUCCCCGACAUUCGACGACAUCAUGAUGUCAUGGAACCACUUGUAAGAGUUCGAUAUCAUCCUUUGAGCUAUCGUGCGGCUAGCUCCGAAAAAAUAGAGAAAAUGUUAAAAGAAGCAUAUACGAGUUAGUGUAGCAUACUUUUACUAAAAUCAUACAAUACUUACCAGGGUAAAAUUAUUCUCCAUUCCGUCUCGAACGCUUUUCAUUCGGCAUGGUCUACCUCCCGAAAAAGGUUGAGGUAUGUACUGUCGAUGAACCUCCUCAUUUUUCCCUCAGUUGUGAAGGAAGAGAUGAUAUACUGUGAGACAUAUAAUCCUUAUACCGACCACAUGCUCCAGCACGUCCUCACCUCCUCGAACUCGGGGAUUGCCACCUCCUUAGGGCUCGCCACCCCAUUUAUCCUCCAUCUUUCUCGUCCCCAUCAUGGCCAUUCCCUCCGUCGUCCCCUCCUUCAUCACCUUUCUCGUCUCCGAUGUGGCCACCCGUUCCUACUCCACAGAUAACAAAAAUUACUCUAUUGCAUCAUUUGACCACAACUGUGAGUGAUACUUCUCUCCGUCACCCUCUCCGGUACCCAUCACCUGUCUACUAUAUCACCUUGAAGUACUGCGAUCUCAUCUUGAAGGUCUACAUAAUGGCUACGUAGCACUCCAAUAUUGUAAGAUAAAUCGUUGACUCUUACUAUCAAUUGUCGUCCCAACGCUCGACCUCCUCUGCUAUAAAUCCUAUGAACUCUCGUCGCAACUUGCUAACCUCAUUUGUCAUAAAUCCAGUUAGGUGGACACAUAGAUCAUUGAAAUAAUGACCCUGACUAUGUGUAGGUUAUCCACAUGGAAGGUCUUGGAUGGGGAAGAAGAAGAUUCCUCGGUGGAAGUGAUGCCCCCGGCCAAAGUAAUGCCCUCGGCGGAGGAGAUCUUUGAUUGACUAGACCGCACUCGUAUACAAAAAAGAAGAUAUCGAUGUCGUCAACAAUCUUUGGCCCCACGGAUAAUUGUUGAAGGUAUCGAUAUCAUCAACGAUUUUCAAAUAGAAGAGGUCGAUCAUAGCCUUCUUGUGAUGACGCCACACCACGCUCUUGAGGAUGUAGACCAGUCUUAGCUUCAGUCCGUCUAACAUCUGGUCACAUCCCCUGAUUAUGCCAAUUAGCUACCAUAGAAACACCAUCCCUUGUCCCUGCAAAUAAGCCUCGUGCAGCCUGUAGCUUUUCUGGGUGCCAUUAUGAGCUGUUUCAUUGCUCGUAAUUUUUAGUCCGGUCAUUAGGGCAAACUUGAACAAGGAGAACGUAUGGACCUUGUCCCCGUGGUCGAAGUGGAAGGCACCAUCGUUAACUGGCCCGAGCAGCCAACACAGUAGUGCACCAAUGAUCUCCCCAGAGUAUGGGACCUCCCUCAACUAAUAUAGGGGCCAGAGGGAAGACUAACAUAGAUUACCCAUAUACUGGUCAUCCAGCAGCUUUAGUGCUGCAUUGAAACUGUCAAAGCUAUUGUUCUAAGUAACUUUCCUAGGCAACCAUCUCAACUCCUCAUUCAAAUGGUAUUCCACCCUGUAAAAAUUCAAAUGUUAGAACAUUGGACAAGAGAUUAUAGAAUAAAGUAUAAUCUCAGAAAAUUAAGCGAAUCAAGUUGUAACUACUAUACGCAAAAUCUAAGUUCAUUUUACACCAAUAUUAAUAAAAAACUAAAUGAAUUGCAGACAAAAAUUUAAAAAACGUUAUUACAAUUUUAAUUAAAAUUAUAAGAAAAAAAGGAGAAAAAAGGGGGAAAAAAAGAUAACACAAUAGCAAAGGAAAGAUGGAAAAAAGAAAGAAAAAGGAAAAAAGGGUCA
rnacentral:lncRNA from 1 species